rnacentral:rRNA from 1 species
UUUGGUGCUACCUGCAGUCGAACGAGAAAUCCGACACUCAGGCAACUGAGUGUUAGAGAGUAAAGUGGCGCACGGGUGAGUAACGCGUGGGUAACCUACCCUUGAAACCGGGAUAACCCCGCGAAAGCGGGACUAAUACCGGAUGUGGUUCCAUCAGCCUAGGCUCUUGGAAUUAAAGGUGACCUCUUCAUGAAAGUUGCCGUUCAGGGAUGGGCUCGCGUACCAUUAGCUUGUUGGUAGGGUAAUGGCCUACCAAGGCUACGAUGGUUAGCUGGUCUGAGAGGAUGAUCAGCCACACUGGAACUGGAACACGGUCCAGACUCCUACGGGAGGCAGCAGUGAGGAAUUUUGCGCAAUGGGGGAAACCCUGACGCAGCAACGCCGCGUGAGCGAAGAAGGCCCUUGGGUCGUAAAGCUCUGUCAAGUGGGAAAAAGGUCUUUCGAUUAAUACCCGGAAGAUUUGAUGGUACCACUGGAGGAAGCACCGGCUAACUCCGUGCCAGCAGCCGCGGUAAUACGGAGGGUGCAAGCGUUGUUCGGAAUUACUGGGCGUAAAGGGCGUGCAGGCGGUUUGGCAAGUCAGGCGUGAAAGCCCUGGGCUUAACCCAGGAAGUGCGUUUGAAACUGCCUUUCUUGAGUAUGGGAGAGGAGAGUGGAAUUCCCAGUGUAGAGGUGAAAUUCGUAGAUAUUGGGAGGAACACCCGUGGCGAAAGCGACUCUCUGGACCAAUACUGACGCUGAGACGCGAAAGCGUGGGGAGCAAACAGAUUAGAUACCCUGGUAGUCCACGCUGUAAACGAUGAGAACUAGUGUAGCGGGUAUUGACCCCUGCUGUGCCGAAGUUAACGCAUUAAGUUCUG